CUCUCCUGAGGCCUUUGUGCCUUCAUUUAUAAGUCAGGCUAGUCACAGGUCUUUCCUAGGAUUGUUAUGAAGAGACACAAAACGGCAAGAAAAAGCACUGUACUGGUGCCAGGAAGAGUGUCCCAUGAAUGGUCACUAUGACAAUAUACACAAGUGGCCUCUUUCUCCACGCCCCCUCUGUUGAGGGCAGGCACACAGGGCAGGCGCAUGGGGCAGGGAGAAGCCAUGGAUCCAGGUGAGAGAGUGCAGUGACAAAGCAAGUGGAGUUAUUUCGUACUAAUGUUAAGUGGUUAGGAACAAACAAAACUGAGACUCUUGGGCCAGGGUGCUGCAGCGAGGUGCUUGUGGCCUUAGGUUGUUGGAGAGCAGAGGCAAGCCCGCUCCAGGACCUCCAUGCUCCGCCUCCUUUCUGCCUUGACCCCUCACCACUGCGAUAGCAAUGAGCUUUCCACUUUAAAGAGCUUGGGGCUUUGAUGGCAAACAGACUGAAUUUGAACCCUGGCUUGACCAGACCAUUUACUACAUUAGUCUGGGUUGAAAUGACCAGGAAGGGUUUUACAGAAUGAUUCCCCUAAGCAAACAUCCCAGAGAGAAGAAAAGCAAAAGACACACAGCUAAAUGGACAACAGUUCCCAGCCUCGUCACAGGAGAACUCUUUGGAGCCAAGUGAACCCCUGGGUCUCCUUUUUCCCACCCCAUCACUUCAGCGCUUUGAGAUCAAGUUCGAACUCAGUCCCAACACAGAGUGUCACUGCAAAUUGUUUAUUAAAACACAAAGCAAUGGACAGUGAAAAACAUCCUGAUUUUGUA
rnacentral:lncRNA from 1 species